AUACGGAGGGUGCAAGCGUUGUCGGGAUUCACUGGGUGUAAAGGGUGCGUAGGCGGCGCGGUCAGUUGGGUGUGAAAUCCCUCGGCUCAACCGAGGAACUGCGCCCAAUACUACCGUGCUCGAGGGAGACAGAGGCGAGCGGAACUGAUGGUGGAGCGGUGAAAUGCGUUGAUAUCUUAAGGAACACCCGUGGCGAAAGCGGCUCACUGGAUCUUUUCUGACGCUGAGGCACGAAAGCUAGGGUAGCGAACGGGAUUAGAUACCCCAGUAGUCC
rnacentral:rRNA from 1 species